AUUGCCUUGGUUAAUCUCAUUAAUUCCAUUGUGCCUGGGCAGUUAACAACUCCCUCUGCCCGACCUCUCCACCCCCACCCUUUUUUUCUCAGAUUGGGUCCUAUUAUUGGGUGCGAUUUCCUCUGCCUGUAGCUCAGAUUCAUUGUGGACGAUUUUACUCUGGGGCUACUUUCUUCCCUCUUUCGAAAUGGGUUUUGUUUUAGCAAAUGUGAGGGGCUGCGUCCCCUCUCAAGCAGGACUGAAAAUUCCAUCACUCCUCCGCGCCCCCACGUACUCACCGCCUAAUUUCACCUCUUUUUUAAAUCGUGAGUUUCUCUCCCGAAUGGAACUCGUUAAGCCCCCACAAAAACUUUUGUUUUUGCAAAAGCCACAUUUUGUAAAGGCAAAAACGACGAAAGGAGAGGUGCAGCGUGCUUCUUAAAAAGAAAAAAAAAUUUUUUUUUUCUUUUGCCGCGUCUCUGGGUCUGAAAACUACCAUAGCAGUCCCUAGGUCCUACACAGCGAAGACCAAAUUCCGCCGCUCUUUCAAAUUCGCCACCAAGAGUUGCAGUCUGAAGCGGUGCUUCCAGCUGCUCCCAGCGUGGGUAUCGGUAGGUUUUGGGCUUUUAAAAAAUUAUUUUUGGAAAUACGGUGUCUUCUCUCCCAAACCAUUUUUUAAGCUUUAAAUCCAGAUGGGGUCUUUGGGACUUCUCUGUCUUCUUCCCCAAUAAUUGGGCCGCAUUUUUCCAUACGACGUGCUGGCUCCCGGAUAGAGACAGACCCCCUACUCGCGGCCUUGCCCUUCCGCCUGGCAGCCCCAGAGUGGACUGCCUGGGCCCCAGUGGCGUGGACGAUGGCCGGCUCUGAUCGCGGCAGGCGGCCGCGGUGAUUUGCGAGAUUCUCGGCACCGCACUGGGCGCCGGCCGGAGCCACGGGAGGCGCAGCCAGCCCACCACUCACUGCAAGCAGGCCGCCAAGCGCCCUUCAGAAGAGACUUAAGUCACUAUGCUCCAGGACACAGACACUCCCCCACCAAUCUUUCGCAGAUUUACAUCUACAGGGCAGUUGUUGGAAAACAACUAGAGGCUGCAACCUCAGCAGUGACUUUCCCUGCGUUUGUGUUGGAGGCUGGGCGUGCGCUGAGGUGUGCAUGAGAGUGGAUCUUUUAAGACCUCUGUCUGAGCCGGGCAGAGGCACAAGUGCCACCGGACGCUUAGGGCAGAUUCCUGGUCCUGUUCUUGCAAAGAUGCCCAAAUCAGGAUAGUGUCAAUAUUUCAACCGCAGACCUAGAA